GGCCUUAUAGUCUAAUAUAAGACGACAGACUGCAAUUCUGUAAAUGUAAAUUUACUAAGGCUU
rnacentral:tRNA from 1 species